GACGAAAGUCUGACGGAGCAACGCCGCGUGAACGAUGAAGGCUUUCGGGUCGUAAAGUUCUGUUGUCAGGGAAGAACAAGUACCGGAGUAACUGCCGGUACCUUGACGGUACCUGACCAGAAAGCCACGGCUAACUACGUGCCAGCAGCCGCGGUAAUACGUAGGUGGCAAGCGUUGUCCGGAAUUAUUGGGCGUAAAGCGCGCGCAGGCGGUUCCUUAAGUCUGAUGUGAAAGCCCCCGGCUCAACCGGGGAGGGUCAUUGGAAACUGGGGAACUUGAGUGCAGAAGAGGAGAGCGGAAUUCCACGUGUAGCGGUGAAAUGCGUAGAGAUGUGGAGGAACACCAGUGGCGAAGGCGGCUCUCUGGUCUGUAACUGACGCUGAGGCGCGAAAGCGUGGGGAGCGAACAGGAUUAGAUACCCUGGUAGUCCACGCCGUAAACGAUGAGUGCUAAGUGUUAGAGGGUUUCCGCCCUUUAGUGCUGCAGCAAACGCAUUAAGCACUCCGCCUGGGGAGUACGGCCGCAAGGCUGAAACUCAAAGGAAUUGACGGGGGCCCGCACAAGCGGUGGAGCAUGUGGUUUAAUUCGAAGCAACGCGAAGAACCUUACCAGGUCUUGAC
rnacentral:rRNA from 1 species